UAGAAGGGAGGGGAGACGUCUCUGCAAAGACUGUUUAGCUCUCCAGGUCAUUCAGUAUUUGCAAGCAGUAAAUGAAAUUGUCCAAAUUUGUCUUCUCAUGAAAACGUCAGCUUGGGCGCUUAAAGUGAGUAAUUCUUUUCUUAUGGUCUGAAAAAAGAAGUCUCCCCCCCCCACUUUUUUUUUUUUUUUUUUUUUUUACUUUUGUUGCCCUCGAGACCAAAGAGGCUUUUUGUUCUUGUUCCAUGUUUCCAGUUUGCUGGGAUUCUUCAGAUUUGCUUACAUAGAGGACUGAUAUAAAUUUUCAGGUGGAAGAAACCAGAUGCUGACAUGCUUGUUUGGUUUAAGCCAGAGCUGUCACCAGCAGUCUAGCAGUUCUGGAAGGGAUGGCGUUCUUGGAUUCCCCUUUGCCUCUUCCCCUCAGUAAAAUAGAGACAUCAUCUCCCCAGACAAUAACUUGGAUCUACCUGCAACUACUUUGCCAUCAUAAGAGAAGCAAACUUGAGGAUGAAAUGGAUAUGAAUAACAAACAAGUCUGUGUAUGCCAAUGUUCAUAGCAGCACAGCUUGUAAUAGCCAACACCUUGAAGCAAUCUAUGUGUGAAACAACAGGACAGAGAAAUUGAAAGUGGAAGAGAAGCUUGAAAGGGAGAGAAAAAAGAGAGAUACCUGGACCAUUGCUUCAUCAGUCAUGAAGCUUCCCUCUGCAGAUGGAGACCAAGGACUUGAACACAGGCCCUCACACAGUAUAAUGUGUGCAUUCAACCUGGUGUGCCAUCACCCAGCCCUGGAUCAUACAGUUAACCAGCUUCAUCUCACAGAUGAGUACAAGAAAGUCUAGAAGAUGAAUGGGACAGGGCCAGGCAGUGGCACACCUGGUUAAGUACACACAUUACCAUGCGUAGGAACACAGGUUUAAGUCCCUGCAGGGGGAAAGCUUUGUGAGUGGUCAAACAGUGCUGCAGGUAUCUCUCUGUCUCUUUCCCUAUCUCCCCAUUGCCUCUCAAUAUCUCUCUGUCUUUAUCCAGUAAUAGAUAAAUAAUAAUUAUAUACAUAUAUAUAUAUAUAUAUAUCAAAUGAGACUUCCUCAAACUCAAUAUAGUUACUCAUAGUACUAUGCUAUUUUUCUGCUUCUAGACUCCUCAAGGAGAUAAUAAUCCCAAUUCUUUUCAUAUUUCUCCCACUAUUCUCAUAUUCAUCUUUUCCAUCGUUUUUUUUUUUCUAGAUUUCCUUGACCUCCUUGCAGAGGGCAAGUCUUCCAGCAGUGAGACGUUUCCUCCACACAGCUGUGGAAAUUCCUCCCUCCCAGACGACAUUCCUUGGCUUAUGUGCAAGAAUGGAAAACUUUUAAGGUGAAAGUCU